GCUGGGUAUGGUGGUGCAUACCUGUAAUCCCAGCAACUCGGGAGGCUGAAGCAGGAGGAUCACAAGUUCAAAGCCAGCCUCAGCAACUUAGUGAGGACCUAAGCAACUUAGUGAGUCCCUGUUUCAA
rnacentral:sRNA from 1 species